GCCGGUGUGGCUCAGUGGUAGAGCAACUGUUUCGUAAACAGUGGGUCGUGAGUUCGAUUCUCACCACCGGCU
rfam:Candidatus Curtissbacteria bacterium RIFCSPHIGHO2_01_FTLL_41_11 rifcsphigho2_01_scaffold_1618, whole genome shotgun sequence.